rnacentral:miRNA from 1 species
UAUUGCACUUGUCCCGGCCUCCC